GAGAGCGACCGGUGCUUGCACUGGUCAAUCUAGUGGCGAACGGGUGAGUAACACGUGGGUAACCUGCCCAUCAGAGGGGGAUAACAUCCGGAAACGGAUGCUAAAACCGCAUAGGUCUUCGAGCCGCAUGGCUUGAAGAGGAAAAGAGGCGCAAGCUUCUGCUGAUGGAUGGACCCGCGGUGCAUUAGCUAGUUGGUGAGGUAACGGCUCACCAAGGCCGUGAUGCAUAGCCGACCUGAGAGGGUGAUCGGCCACAUUGGGACUGAGACACGGCCCAAACUCCUACGGGAGGCAGCAGUAGGGAAUCUUCCGCAAUGGACGCAAGUCUGACGGAGCAACGCCGCGUGAGUGAAGAAGGUUUUCGGAUCGCAAAACUCUGUUGUUAGAGAAGAACAAGUGCUAGAGUAACUGUUAGCGCCUUGACGGUAUCUAACCAGAAAGCCACGGCUAACUACGUGCCAGCAGCCGCGGUAAUACGUAGGUGGCAAGCGUUGUCCGGAUUUAUUGGGCGUAAAGCGAGCGCAGGCGGUUCCUUAAGUCUGAUGUGAAAGCCCCCGGCUCAACCGGGGAGGGUCAUUGGAAACUGGGGAACUUGAGUGCAGAAGAGGAGAGUGGAAUUCCAUGUGUAGCGGUGAAAUGCGUAGAUAUAUGGAGGAACACCAGUGGCGAAGGCGACUCUCUGGUCUGUAACUGACGCUGAGGCUCGAAAGCGUGGGUAGCAAACAGGAUUAGAUANCCUGGUAGUCCACGCCGUAAACGAUGAGUGCUAAGUGUUGGAGGGUUUCCGCCCUUCAGUGCUGCAGUUAAC
rnacentral:rRNA from 1 species